UACGGGGGGGGCAAGCGUUGUUCGGAAUUACUGGGCGUAAAGGGCUGGUAGGCGGCCAACUAAGUCGGAUGUGAAAUCCCCAGGCUUAACCUGGGAACUGCAUCCGAUACUGGUCGGCUUGAAUCCGGGGGAGGGAUGCAGAAUUCCAGGUGUAGCGGUGAAAUGCGUAGAUAUCAGGAGGAACACCGGUGGCGAAGGCGGAUCUCUGGGCCUUACCUGACGCUCAGGUGCGAAAGCUAGGGGAGCGAACAGG
rnacentral:rRNA from 1 species